ensembl:lncRNA
CCCUGAGAGGCCUGGCCUGGGCCGGGGGCCGGCUCGGGCUCGGGACCCUCCCCGCGAGCAUCCCCGGGUCGGAGGUCCCGGCCCGCCCCCGCCUGGCGCGGAGAGGCGGCCCGACUUCAGCCCCACUUCGCACACCCGCCCUCCUCCCUCCACCAUAUGGAAAUCUACAGCCUCAGAAAGUGACACGUCGAAGAUUCCUCGGCCUCUCCGCCCGCCCUCCCCCUCCUGGGCAGCGUUCCUGCCGCGGAGAUUCCGGGAGGGGGAGCGGAUUCCUCGGACAAAAUCUGCUGGGAAGGCUAGGGAGGGCGAGGGGGGAGGGAGAGCCCGGGAACCACUGCCCAGAUUUUUUUUUUCCCCAUCAAGAAAGAAUCUACCCGUUUCUUUCCCUCCUCCAAACCUUGGCCAGCUGUAUGGAUGAGCGGGGGCCGGGAGACCAGUAAGACGCGGCCCCAAAGCGCAGGCCGGCACCCCCCACACCGGGCCCCCUGUUCCCGGGGUGCCCAGAUCAGCGCAGGGCGCCCCAGCACUCUGGCGGCAAGUUUUCCUCGGGAAGCCCGGCGCUCCCGAAGCGCUCCGGGACAGGCACGCACUUUGGCAGACUCUGCGUCCGGACGGGGCUUUCCAGCGCGCCGAGAGCGGCGGCAGAGACUUGGGAUCCCGGUCCCCUCCAGACUCCCGCUCCUGCAUCCCUUACCUUCCCUGGGGCUGAAACGCGGGGCUCCGGGCGCGCCACACACCGGGUCUCCCACGCCUCCCCAGCCGACAGCCCCGAGAAUCCCUGCCGCCCCUUCGCUGCUCCCGCCGCCGCCGCCGCCGUCCCCACCGCCGAUCUCCUCCUCCUCCGGCCGCCGCCGCCGCUCAAAUAACUACCAGGAGGGUUAGAUGGGGGAUUCCGCCAUGUCAAUGAUGUCGGGACCACAUGGGGAUUUGGGGCCCGCCCACUGCCGUAAUCUGCAGAGUAUAACCGCCUCCACAAGCCCCGAUUCGCAGGAACUGUGGGAUCCUCCGUUUCGCUCUAGUCCUGCAUAACUAUCCAGAAACUCCUUUUAGUUCAGCUAGACUUUAAAGAAGUCUGAGGCUUAAGGGAACUAGCAACUCCUGAAAGGCGAGGAGUUCAUGUUCUGCCAAGAUCGCCAACACCGGUAUAAAUGCGGGGUUUGCUGUGUAAUUAUCAGAGUUAAGAAUAAGACAUUUUUUCAUUUGCACAUAUAUGGACUGUGAAGAAAGCUGAGCGCCGAAGAAUUGAUGCUUUUGAACUGUGGUGUUGGAGAAGACUCUUGGGAGUCCCUUGGACUGCAAGGAGAUCCAGCCAGUCCAUUCUAAAGAAGAUCAGUCCUGGAUGUUCUUUGGAAGGAAUGAUGCUAAAGCUAAAAUUCCAGUACUAUGGUCACCUCAUGCGAAGAGUUGACUCAUUGGAAAAGACUCUGAUGGUGGGAGGGAUUGGGGGCAGGAGGAGAAGGGAACGGCAGAGGAUGAGAUGGCUGGAUGGCAUCACCGACUCGAUGGACGUGAGUUUGAAUGAACUCCGAGCGUUGGUGAUGUACAGGGAGGCCUGGCGUGCUGCGGUUCAUGGGGUCGUAAAGAGUCGGACACGACUGAGCGACUGAACUGAACUUUUUUAAAAUCCCCACAACCUUGUGAGCUGUUCUGUCACCUCCUUUCUCUAUUUCCCUCAGCACUUUGUUCAUACCAUUCACAUAGCAUUAAGAGAUUUUAUUAUAUUAAUACCAAAGUUACAGUGUAUGUUUCCCCUUUUCGGUGCCCAAUACGCGCUCCUAAGAGCAGAGACUGUUCCUUACUCCUGUCUGUAUUUCUGUAUCAAACAGAGUAUAAUGCAUAAGGCACAGUAGGACUCAUUAGGUAACUGCUGUGUUUAUAUUCGGAGAAGGCAACGGCACCCCACUCCAGUACUGUUGCCUGGAAAAUCCCAUGGGUGGAGGAGCCUGGUAGGCUGCAGUCUAUGGGGUUGCUAAGAGUCGGACACGACUGAGCGACUUCCCUUUCAUUUUUCACUUUCAUGCAUUGGAGAAGGAAAUGGCAACCCACUCCAGUGUUCUUGCCUGGAGAAUCCCCGGGACGGGUGGGCUGCGGUCUAUGGGGUCGCAGAGAGUCGAACACAACUGAAUCGACUUAACAGCAGCAGCAGCAGUGUUUAUACUAAUUAAGCCAAAUGUAAUGUAUCCUGUUGUAUAGACUCAAAAUGGUAAACUGACUGCAUCCCAUGUCACCCCUCAAAUUAUCCAGGCAGACAAGUAAGUAGAAGUCAUCCCAAAGAGGCCAGUCUCUCUUUUAGCUUCCCAGGUAUUCUAAAUAAUUACAGUUAACCUCAGUUAUCAGAGAAGGCAAGAGUGCUGGAGUGGGUCGCCAGUGCCUUCUCCGAUCACAUUAGCUAGUAAUACCUAAUAUCCAGAAGACCCACGCAGGUUCUCAGUCUUCACAUCCUACCUCAGCCUGCAGCUAGGGUUGCUAGAUUCUCAUAGGCAAGCUCAGUCUUGUCUCUUAUCUUGAAACACAAUCUUGACCUUAGAGGGUACUAACUCUUUGCAUCUACCUUUUGCUCUAAUAUUCUGAGCCAGAUCUGAUGCCAGCUGUAAUACAAAUAUUGAUGAAGAGCCAAUUAAUCCAGUUUUAAAGACUUAGGAAUUCACUGGAGUAUGAACUAGACUAAAGGAUAUCUGGCUCAGUCAAUAAUAAAAUCUAAGAGCAAUGUUGCAACUUGACAUUUCUCCAGAACAGUUUUACCAGUCAGCCUGUAGUCUCACCUUCCUUACUAUUGUUCAUUGCAAGACAAGGGAAAAUUGUAGCCCUGUGUGUGAGUGUGUGUGUGUUUGUGUGUGUGUAUUAGAAAUAAUUUCAAACAAGAAGAUCUGAUCCACAGUUAUCAGAACUAUUCAGGUAGAAGGUAAAUAGCUGUCAGGGCUCAUAAAAUCACAGGGUUGACGGUGAGCUAAAGAUUUUUGGCCUGCUAGCUCCCAAAGCAGAAUCUUUGCUCCAUAUCAAUGACAGCUUAGCACCCAACCUCAGACUGGGCACCACCAGGAAAAGGAAAAAAUGCUUCUUGCCAGGACAGCCCUUUAUCAACAACUCUAGACCUAAACCAAGUCUUCAGAAACCUGCCUCCUUAAAAUUUGCCCACACUGAUCCUUUUUCUGCCCUCUGGAGGCAGGUAAAGUAACAACAGUCACCUUCCACAUGACUUCCCUGUCAAUGAAUUGACUAUACCUGUCACACCUGUUCUCUUUUCCUGGAUAAACUUGCUGAACUCUUCAUCUCAUCCACAUAGCUUCCAGAUCUCUCUUCAUCCUUUUCUUCCACCACGUCUAGUUACCUACUUGUUCAACAGCUCUGAAACCUGCA